rnacentral:rRNA from 1 species
AACGCGAAGAACCUUACCUGGGCUCGAACGGCUCACGAAAGUCUUUGGAAACAGAGAUUUCCCGCAAGGGACGGGAGUCGAGGUGCUGCAUGGCUGUCGUCAGCUCGUGUCGUGAGAUGUUGGGUUAAGUCCCGCAACGAGCGCAACCCUUGUCCUGUGUUACCAUGCCGAAAGGCGGCACUCGCAGGAGACCGCCAGCGAUAAGCUGGAGGAAGGUGGGGAUGACGUCAAGUCCUCAUGGCCUUUAUGUCCAGGGCUACACACGUGCUACAAUGGGCGGUACAAAGCGCUGCUAAACCGCAAGGUGGAGCCAAUCGCAAAAAACCGCUCUCAGUUCGGAUUGCAGGCUGCAACUCGCCUGCAUGAAGCUGGAAUCGCUAGUAAUGCUAUAUCAGAACGAUAGCGUGAAUACGUUCCCGGGCCUUGUA